rnacentral:rRNA from 1 species
AUUGAACGCUGGCGGCAUGCCUUACACAUGCAAGUCGAACGGCAGCACGGGAGCAAUCCUGGUGGCGAGUGGCGAACGGGUGAGUAAUAUAUCGGAACGUGCCCAGUCGUGGGGAUAACGUAGCGAAAGCUACGCUAAUACCGCAUACGAUCUAUGGAUGAAAGCGGGGGAUCGCAAGACCUCGCGCGAUUGGAGCGGCCGAUAUCAGAUUAGGUAGUUGGUGAGGUAAAGGCUCACCAAGCCGACGAUCUGUAGCUGGUCUGAGAGGACGACCAGCCACACUGGGACUGAGACACGGCCCAGACUCCUACGGGAGGCAGCAGUGGGGAAUUUUGGACAAUGGGCGCAAGCCUGAUCCAGCAAUGCCGCGUGCAGGAUGAAGGCCUUCGGUUGUAACUGCUUUGUUACGGAACGAAACGGUAGGAGCGUCUAAUACAGUUUGCUAAUGACGGUA